CGAAGCACCGCGUCAAGUAUAACGGCCGGGGAGAACCCUGGGAGACGUUCUAAAGAUAGAUAACGCGUGACCGCGGCGAUUGCGAUCGGGAAUCGCAUCUCUCGUCGGCGCGUUUUCGCGCGACGAUGAGUCGCGCGUGACGCGCACGAACAUCGACGGCGAACGAUCGAACACGGCGAUCGAGGACGCGCUCGCCGAGUGUUUCUUCAACGCUUCGGCGCGAAGAGAAGGAAGAAGAUCGCGUUCUUCUUUCGCGUCUGUCGCGAAAACGCGUCGCAAAAAGACCGAAAGCGGAUAAGCGAAGGAACGGUCGUUUUGCGGUGAAAAACGUCGUAGAUGAAACGCGCGAAUCGAUUGCUAGUGAAAAGCACCGGAGAGAGGAAGGCAAAUCGCAAGGCACUGCUCUCCGCAAAUUGUUACACGAUUCCUGAUCUCCGUUAAUCCUUUCGACGGAAAGCGAUCGAAUGUCGUUCGUGCAUAACUUUUCCGCGCGACGGAAAUUGAUAGAGACGUGAAAGAGAAAGAGCGAGAGAGAGAGAGAGAGAGACAGACAGAGAGUUUCAGUGAUACACCUUGCGGCAACGUGUGCUGGUGCGUCGUAUCGUUAUAUGUAUACUGGUUAAUGUCCCGGAGAUCGAGGAACCCGAAGAUAUGGAGGCGUGACUGUUCGCGCACUCGCUCCAGAACGCGUCAGCAAAUGGACUGCACACAAGCUGAUGGAAGUUUCGAGUAAUUCGAGAGACGAUUUCGUCGACGAGUAAAAAAUGCCAGGCACGUAAAAAAAAAAAAAAAAGAAAAAGAAAAGCGUUAAAACUUGCGAGCAGUUAACGAGAUCCCGAAGACACGGGAUCUUCAACGACGAACAGACGUAAUUUGCGCGUUUAAUGGCACACAGAAAUCUUGUUAUGAGAGAGAGAGAGAUAGAUAGAUAGAUAGAUAGAGAGAAAACAAAAAAAAAUCAGAAGAAUCCUUAGAGAGCGCGGUCGCAACGAAUGAAACGCGAGAUGGAAACACGAUAAACACGGAACAAAAAGCAAAGAAAAUUUAUUAACAAUAGGAAACGGAUAGAGAGAGUGCGGAGGAAGCGAGCGACCGAGAACUCUGGGCUCGAAUAUUGAAAAACAGAGCGGGCAAAAAGAAAGAAGAAAGAGAGAAAGACAGAAAGAAAGUAGAGUAGAGAGAAAAUUAGAUGAGAUUGCCGGAGGAAGACAAUUACAGGUAUCGUCGGCGAGAAAAUAAGAAAGCGCGAUCUGAUAUAUAGAGCACCGCUGGGAAAGGUGAAAAAAAAAAAAAAAAAAAAAAAAUUCGACGGCGAGAGAUCGACGAGGCGAGAAGUGGCGCGCGGAAAUCACCCCCGGUGGAAAGAAGAAAAUUCGGUGAAGAUUUACGUCGAAAGACGUAAGUGGAAGAGAGACCGGACAGAUGAACUCGCGCGGCGCAAAACUCUUCAAGGAAGAUCUCGACGACACCGUUUUCUAAACGAGGGAUAGAAUAAUUCCUCGGUAUCGAACGAGGGAGAUGAGAACAGAGAAGGAGGGUGAAUUAACGAGCAUAUGGAAAUCGUUGUCUUUAAUUAGAAGCGAAGAGAAACAGACACGCAUCAGGCGUAAAGACACAUCGGAAAACGCGAGAUACUGGAUUCGUGCGAAUCAAGACGGACGAUCCGAAGAAGCUCACUUUGUUCAUCUUCGCGCGCUCUCGUCAGCAAUGGCGAACGAAUCGUUCACGGAUGAGCAGUUUUGACGCGACCUAAAGCGCGCGCACGUGCCGCCGAGCACUCUCGCAUAUACUGACGAGAUACGCGGAUGCGAGUCCUUUUUCUGGCCGUGUAUCGACCCCUCGAGAGAAGAAGAGAGAGAGAGAGAAAAGUUCGCGCGAAUAAGAUAAGCCGUUUUAAUCGCUCGCUCUUGGCAACCACGUCGAAACAUUCGACGGUUUGAAAACGCGCAACGACGGACAUACUCUCUCUCGAAGCAAAUUUUUUCCGACCACGUGGUGCACUCUGUGUUCAGGAAUAUACAAAAAAAAAAAAAAAAAA